rnacentral:lncRNA from 1 species
AAAUUAGGUGUUCCCGUUCCAGCAGUAGCAGACGGACUUCUAAUACCUUUAACAAAAAUAAGAACAUAAUUCUCAUAGUGUAGAUAAGUCUUCUUCUUCAAUUGCCCUUGUCUAUUUUGUUCCGAGUUAGCUUCAGUUAAGCUACCGCUGAACAAAUUUGAACCGCAAAGUACAAACCAAAUAGAUAGUCGAUCACAUCCAUUAACACCACGUUUAAAACAUAUGUCCGUAAAGACUAUUGAAACGUGAUAUCAACUACUCUCUGCCACUCAACACGUCCCUACCAUAGAACACAAUAUAAUGAAUAAAAACCUAUGACCACCACUAUCCACCACGCACC